rnacentral:rRNA from 1 species
CACGUAGGGGACGAGCGUUGUCCGGAUUCAUUGGGCGUAAAGCGCGCGUAGGCGGCUCGGAAAGUCGGUCGUGAAAUGCCGGGGCUCAACCCCGGGACUGCGUCCGAUACUCCCGAGCUGGAGGCAGGUAGGGGAGAUCGGAAUUCCUGGUGUAGCGGUGAAAUGCGCAGAUAUCAGGAGGAACACCGGUGGCGAAGGCGGAUCUCUGGGCCUUACCUGACGCUGAGGCGCGAAAGCUAGGGGAGCGAACAGG